AUGUGUAUACGUGGAGGGGGGGGGCUACAAAGUGAAGUGAAAACAAUGUUUUUCAGAGGCAAUUCAACCCCCAAUAUGAUCUUAGAUUAUUUUCUUUCUAUUUCGAAUCAAAGAACAAGACAAUUAUUGAAACUUUUAUGGAUACUUUUAUCGAUUUCAAAUAUUUUUUUCUUAUUUUUAAAAAAUCUUAACCCAUUAGUGACGAGAAGGUUUUUUUUUCUUCUCAGUUACUAGGUUAAUUUCUGUGAACAGAAUUUUUAGUCAUCUGAAGUUCCCCCCUCAGGUUCAUUUGUUUGUUUUUAUUUUGUGUUAAUCGCACAACGCUAACACAUGUGCACGUGAAAAAUUGUUUUAGAAAAGUGUAAAAGAAUGGAUAAAUUGUCACUUUUUGUAAUGUCCCAUGUAAUAUCCAUAUUGUACAUAUAUUUUUUCAUCCUAUAAUUACAAUCAUUAUACACACUCCUGAAGAUAGCUAAUAAAAACUAAUAUCUAA